rnacentral:lncRNA from 1 species
GCCUGUUUUGACCUUCUUUUGGCCCUAUUGUGCAUGUUUAAAGUUGAAUUUUCAUCCUGUUUGAUUUCUAGAGAAAAGGAAGAUAUGUGCAUAUGUUUAGUCUGCCUAUGUGGAACUACGUGCUGAAUUUCUGUUCUGAAAAGUUGGAGAUACGGUCUGUUUGACCAAACGAAGGCAGAAGCUAUACUUGAUGAGUUAUGAUUGUUGUGUACGUUGAUAUGUGCUGAAAAAUUGGUGCAAAAAUUCAGGAAAAAUGUGCAGAGAAAAAAGAAAGAAAAAAGAAAAAAAAACGAAAAAAAAAAGAAGAAAAAGAGAUUGCACUUAAGUGAGUUGAGAAUAUACAGUUGAUGGGUGAUGUUCUUUUGUUCGUUUUGGUUUUCCUCAGAUGCUUAUUGAUUAUGGAUGAUGAUUCGUUUUGAACAUGCAUGAUACCUCGUUCUGAUUUUUCUUGAAGCCUAGGUACCCUGUUUAGAUCCUUCCAAAAUCAAAUAAUGGUCCCUAGCCCCAUUACGCCAAAUGAGAAAAGACCUUCUUGAGUUACAGAGUGACCACUUUAUAUCG